GUAGAUUAGAGAAUGCCACAGUCUUUUAAGGGAAGCCCCAUCACAUGAGUGAUUGGAAACUAGACUGAACAAAGUACUGGAUGAUAUCCUAGAGGGAAUAACUCUUCAUCAACAAGGAUAGGGGAAUGAACAAGAUGAAUUCAUAGGUCCUUCCCAUCUCCGUGAAUCUAUUUAAUGCACUCACUUUUCUCUGUGCUUGAAAAUAGACACAUUUUAAUCAAAAAGGGGCUGAUUAUGGUGAUGUGAAAGCUCUGGGGCCUCAUCUGGCAGAGUUCCCUUGAGAUUCCCAGAAGCAGAAGAAGAGAGCAGGCAUUGUACCUUCUCUCUAUGGAGUGUGGCAUGCAUUUCCCCUGAGCAGGGCUAUUGUUCCCCUCUUCAACCAUUUUGAAGCUAGCACCUAUCUCUGUGCUAAUCGCUAUACGCUCUGUACUCAGUGUAUUUGUGGUCAGCUCCUGCAAAUGCAUGAAAAGAGAGGCACUAUGGGCUAGUGGCUUGAGCACUUAGCUGAGACUCGGGAGCCCUGGUCCCUGCUGUGCCACUGAUCUGGCAAGAAACCUGAGGCAAGUUACUUUUCCCCUAUGAGUCUCACUUUCCCCAUCUGUAAGAUAGGGAUACAGACCUCCUUUGUAAAGCACUUUGAGAUUUAUGAAUUAAGAGCAAGGUAUUAUUCAUAUUACUUGCCUCUUUUCCCCUUGGGCACCUGUGCAGGGCUAGGCACAAUAUAGCCCCAAAUCUUGGAAAAUACACAAUUUACUGAAGGAGAAAAACUGGGGAUUACAUGGAAAUCAGUGAAACUAAGGAAACAACAAGGUAAACUUAAUUGAUAUGAGCAGUAUGGGGGGGAAGGCAUCUUUCUAUCAAUGAGAUCACUAAUCCAUUUAUUAUUAUGAUUUAGCUCUCAGGUAGCACUUUUCACAUAUGGAUCACCAGGUACAUUACCAAGGUGGAUGUGUUCUGAUUUUAGAGAGGGAAAUAGAGACAGAUAGGUUAAGGUCACACCCUGAUCCAACGACCUUGUUCCUAAUGCUGUGUUCUGACCACUAGAUUACAUUGCCUCUCUACAGUUAUAUUCCAGGGGACACAUGAAUGCACCUCCUCCAACACACACACUGCUUCACCGACCUCCACAAACUAUGCAUUGAAGGUCCCUGCAUUUAAGGAAAUUGCAGGAGUCAGCAUAUCUGGAUUGCAAUGGAUGUGCCUCAUCCUAGAAAAGCCACCUUCAUGAUCAUGUGAUAAAAAGGAUGUAAACAUCACAUCGUCAGAUAUGUGCCAAGUGAAACAAACAUGGGAUGGCAAAACAGCAUAUUUGAAGAAGAGGGAUACAAACCUUAUAUUCAAGAUAUUGGAUCCAAACAUAUAUAGGUCAUUAUCCAGUUGUUUUGCUGUGGGAGGAGAUGCAGAACUCCAGUGGUUUAUUGGUAUAAUUCCUUGAAGGUGAAGGAGCCAUAAAGUGAUCUCAAUACUGAGGAGUGAAGCAGCAUCAUGUAAUAUAGUUAAACAAUAAUGCAAACCACAGAAGAAUCCAUGGAAGAGGAGGGAAAUGAAUUCACCUAGAAAAGACUGAAUAUUUAAGUCCAGCACAGAAAGAUGUUUGGAGUUUGUGGGGGAAGGUGGAGAAUCCCCUGGUUUCCUCUGCACUGAUUUCCCAUGCCCUGCAGAGUAUAAAAACCUCCUAAAUAAAACGACUCUAUUAACAGACUACUGUAGGACUAGAGUAAAGAUGCACUCCAAGUUCUGGAUCCAAACCUCGGUUGAGAUAUUCAGAUCUGCUGUUCCAGUUCAGAUCCAUCUUUGGAUUCUGAAAUAUGGCAUUGACUCCUAAAUACCAUAAUACAAGAAAGGGAAUCAGCCAGGCAGGAUUGUUUAAACUGUCAGACAACUCAUAAUUUGACAGUGAUCCCUUUUUAAAGUGGGGGAAGGUACAGGCUUUCAGUGAUUCAGAUUGAUCACCUUCUAAUCUGCAUUUUAGGUUUGAGUUUUUAUUAUUACAGAAGUGAUUCAAAGAAAAAAACCCCUAUCUUAUUUACAUAUAAAACAAUUAAGUCCUGUCUGACUUUUCUGCAUUCAGGAGCCAGCCACAUGUUCUGCUGCAGGGUAUUGUAAGGGACAGGAAAAUCUGGGAAAAUGCUUGCACCAAAUUGUUUUGGUUUUCCUAUAUAUUUGCGGUGUAAUCAAGCUGCAUAUAAAAUCAAAAGAAGAUUGAGUAAGCGGUGAGGCUAUAUAGUACAUAGAAGUGUGGGCCUGAUUCACAGCCCACUGAAGUCAAUGUGCAAUGAUUGCAGUGGGCUUUGAACCAGGCCCCCUAUGCAUGGUAACCAAGAUAGAAUAAAUUGCAGCAAUGGACAUAGUACCGUAGUUUAAAAUGAAGCUAGAGCAACAUUUUUAAGAUUGGUUUUUUUCUUGCUCCAGGCAGAUAAUGGAACUAGCCUCCAGACGUGUAAACUCUCAGCAGCCAGCAUGAUCAUCAUGAGCCAAUUUCUAUUGAAAUUAGAUCAAUACUAUUUUUUUCCCUUCCCCUCACUGGCUCCUAAGUGAUUCAUGAAUCUGAAAACUAGUUCAUGAAUCUGAGAGGAAGGGGGAGAGUAGGAGGUGGAAUAUCUGCAGUCAGCAAACCUUGACUCUGUUUCAUGAAUCCAGGGAUUAGUUACAUAAUAUUCUGCUGCCUGCUAGUUGAAACCAGUAUUUAGGUUGCCGUUUAAAACUUUUACUUAUUCAAUUCCCCCCACUCCCCCUCCAAGAACUGGGUAGAGCCACGUUCUUUUGCACAUACACACACACACACGGCAAAAAUCAGAGCCAUGUUAUAUAGCAACUAUUUGAGUGUAUGUGCAUGUGACACACAUCUUAGCUACACUUUGUGUGUGUGUGUGUGUGUAUAGAGAGAGACAGACAAGAAUCAGUGCUGCAGUAGAUAGCACUCCUGGAUGUGUCAGAAAUCAGAGCUACGUUAUGUAGGAAUUCUCUGAGUGUGUGUGUGCUUGUGACAAGGUGGAGAGCCACGCUGGGUAAUGUGUGUAUAUAGAAAGACAGACAAGAAUCAGCACCACAUUACCUAGCACUCAUAUGUGUACUUGUAUGUGACAAGAAUAGUUUAACCGGUUAUGGGCCCUUUAAAUCUGUACUGGAGCCAAGUCUCUUUCUCUGUGGAGUUUCAUAAGGAAGCACAUGAUGAGAGCAGUUGGAAACCACAUCUCUGUGAGUGCUGAUUACAGCCGACUGAGGAAAAUGAGAUUUUUAUCUUGCAGGAAUUCAAUUAUCAAAAAAAUAAAAUACAGCCUGUCUGCCUUUAUUUGGCUAAACUCACUGCACCACGGGGUUUUUAAUUUAACAAAAAAUGGUGCAAAAAUUAUUUAAAACAUUGUGUUUUUUGUAAAGGAGAGAA